rnacentral:tRNA from 1 species
CCACUCAUCUGCAGUCACGGCUGGUUCUGUUUUUCAAGUCAUUGGUUUUGGUUAGAGUCCGAGUAAGAAUU